rnacentral:rRNA from 1 species
AUUGAACGCUGGCGGCAGGCCUAACACAUGCAAGUCGAGCGGAUGAGUGGAGCUUGCUCCAUGAUUCAGCGGCGGACGGGUGAGUAAUGCCUAGGAAUCUGCCUGGUAGUGGGGGACAACGUUUCGAAAGGAACGCUAAUACCGCAUACGUCCUACGGGAGAAAGUGGGGGAUCUUCGGACCUCACGCUAUCAGAUGAGCCUAGGUCGGAUUAGCUAGUUGGUGAGGUAAAGGCUCACCAAGGCGACGAUCCGCAACUGGUCUGAAAGGAUGAUCAGUCACACUGGAACUGGGACACGGUCCAGACUCCUACGAGAGGCAGCAGUGGGGAAUAUUGGACAAUGGGCGAAAGCCUGAUCCAGCCAUGCCGCGUGUGUGAAGAAGGUCUUCGGAUUGUAAAGCACUUUAAGUUGGGAGGAAGGGCAGUAAGUUAAUACCUUGCUGUUUUGACGUUACCAACAGAAUAAGCACCGGCUAACUUCGUGCCAGCCGCCGCCGUAAUAC